rnacentral:lncRNA from 1 species
AGCCACAGUUCACAGGAAGAAUGUUAUCAGAACUAAAAUUGUUCCAUCUUGUCCUCAACUUCCAGGCCAGAGGUUUCUAGAUAAAUCAAGAAGUGCAGUUUGACUGGAGGAACUCGCUCCCUCUUGCCUUGGCCUCAGCGAAAUCUCAUAUGCAGUAUUGGUGAGGUUCUUGUCCAGAGCAUUCCUUGGCGGCCUUUACGCUGCACUCAAAUCGAAGUGGGGAAGCCUCAUGCCAAGCUUGCUGUGCUUUUUGUUAUGGUGAGUGUUAGAAAAACUAAUCUUAAAAACCACUCUAUUCUCUCCUUCAAAAGAACGUCAUGCUGUGGAUG